rnacentral:rRNA from 1 species
AUUGAACGCUGGCGGCAUGCCUUACACAUGCAAGUCGAACGGCAGCACGGGAGCAAUCUUGGUGGCGAGUGGCGAACGGGUGAGUAAUAUAUCGGAACGUGCCCGGUCGUGGGGGAUAACGUAGCGAAAGCUACGCUAAUACCGCAUACGAUCUACGGAUGAAAGCGGGGGAUCGCAAGACCUCGCGCGAUUGGAGCGGCCGAUAUCAGAUUAGGUAGUUGGUGAGGUAAAGGCUCACCAAGCCGACGAUCUGUAGCUGGUCUGAGAGGACGACCAGCCACACUGGGACUGAGACACGGCCCAGACUCCUACGGGAGGCAGCAGUGGGGAAUUUUGGACAAUGGGCGCAAGCCUGAUCCAGCAAUGCCGCGUGCAGGAUGAAGGCCUCGGUU